rfam:Salmo salar isolate Sally breed double haploid chromosome ssa15, whole genome shotgun sequence.
UGGCUCAGUUGGUAGAGCAUGGUGUUUGCAACGCCAAGGUUGUGGGUUUGAUUCCCAU